GAUGAACGCUAGCGAUAGGCCUAACACAUGCAAGUCGAGGGGCAUCACAUGAAGUAGCAAUACGGAUGGUGGCGACCGGCGCACGGGUGAGUAACACGUAUGCAACCUGCCUUCAACAAGGGGAUAACCCGUUGAAAGACGGACUAAUACCCUAUAACACAGGGGUCCCGCAUGGGAAUAUUUGUUAAAGGACAACCGGUUGAAGAUGGGCAUGCGUUCCAUUAGCUAGUUGGCGGGGUAACGGCCCACCAAGGCAACGAUGGAUAGGGGAACUGAGAGGUUUAUCCCCCACACUGGUACUGAGACACGGACCAGACUCCUACGGGAGGCAGCAGUGAGGAAUAUUGGUCAAUGGACGCAAGUCUGAACCAGCCACGUCGCGUGAAGGAAGACGGCCCUACGGGUUGUAAACUUCUUUUGUAAGGGAAUAAGUGUGUACGCGUACUAUUUUGCAUGUACCUUACGAAUAAGGA
rnacentral:rRNA from 1 species